UGUAAUACAUACUUUUUUCGAAAUUAAUUUUCUACCCCUGUCAGUUGAAUCCUAGGAUUAAUAACUUAAAUCAUCUUGUUCGUCGUGCGGGGAGCUGCAGGGCAGAAUCGAUGGGCGAUCCUGAAAUCUCCGGGCGAAAUUCCGACAACAAAUCCGCUCCGCCGGCGGAUAAGCCGACGCCCAAAAUCCAGAGCGCUGCGGGAGAAUAUUCCCGCGGAUCCUACUACCCUAAUCCGCCGGAGUCGGUGAAUCCAGACAGUGCGACGCUCAGAGAUCAGUGGCGGUUUGCGAUUAGGCAGUACAGCAAGUGGUACUCUCACGCUUGGGGCACCGCUAUUCUGGCCGGUCUCUCGUUUUUCGCUCUCGGUUGGGUUAUCAAGGGCUCUAAUCCGCUUCCUUCCUUUAAACCUGAUAAUACGAGUGUAAAGGAUUCUGACUCCGCUAGUGAUGGUGAUGUAGAUAAAGUUGCUGCUGAGGAUCAUCGAUCUCGCUGACCUUGGUGGAUUAGCUACUUACAUUGCCUUUUGAUUUCCGUCUUUUUAUAUAAUUAAUUGGAUCUUUCUUUCAUGAAAAUAACUGUGGUUGUCUCUUGCUCAUCCAUCCUAUGUGUUGCCGUGCUUCUUUCGUUCGUGCUUGGAUGAUGUUGACAUAGUUUGUUUACAUACCAAGAUAUGUUCCAGAAGUUGUAUCUUUCAAAUUUAUGUCUUGGGUUUCAAAUAAUGAAAGUGCUGCGGAUCAUGGUUGUCCAUCCUUCUGCCAAUAAUGGUUUCCAGCAGACCUCAAUGGUUCUCUUUGCUUCAAGUUGAAGAUGAUGAGACUUCUGUAUAAGUCAUGAGAGUUUUACUUCCUCCUGUAUUGAGGUGUUGUGAAUGUCAAUGCUGUUGUAAUUCUCAAGAAGACAAAAAGAUAGCUUGAAAGUGUUUGAUCAGAAUGUUUUGUGGACCUUGCUGAAAUGGCUGUAUAGAUAAUAAAUUUUAGCACUUUGGAUUUGGCAAAUCUUGAAAUCAAUUGGGUUUGGGUUUUUGGUACCAA